CGGGGGGGGCGUGCUAAUACAUGCAAGUCGAGCGGACAGAUGGGAGCUUGCUUCCCCUGAUGUUAGCGGCGGACGGGUGAGUAACACGUGGGUAACCUGCCUGUAAGACUGGGAUAACUCCGGGAAACCGGGGCUAAUACCGGAUGCUUGUUUGAACCGCAUGGUUCAAACAUAAAAGGUGGCUUCGGCUACCACUUACAGAUGGACCCGCGGCGCAUUAGCUAGUUGGUGAGGUAACGGCUCACCAAGGCGACGAUGCGUAGCCGACCUGAGAGGGUGAUCGGCCACACUGGGACUGAGACACGGCCCAGACUCCUACGGGAGGCAGCAGUAGGGAAUCUUCCGCAAUGGACGAAAGUCUGACGGAGCAACGCCGCGUGAGUGAUGAAGGUUUUCGGAUCGUAAAGCUCUGUUGUUAGGGAAGAACAAGUGCCGUUCAAAUAGGGCGGCACCUUGACGGUACCUAACCAGAAAGCCACGGCUAACUACGUGCCAGCAGCCGCGGUAAUACGUAGGUGGCAAGCGUUGUCCGGAAUUAUUGGGCGUAAAGGGCUCGCAGGCGGUUUCUUAAGUCUGAUGUGAAAGCCCCCGGCUCAACCGGGGAGGGUCAUUGGAAACUGGGGAACUUGAGUGCAGAAGAGGAGAGUGGAAUUCCACGUGUAGCGGUGAAAUGCGUAGAGAUGUGGAGGAACACCAGUGGCGAAGGCGACUCUCUGGUCUGUAACUGACGCUGAGGAGCGAAAGCGUGGGGAGCGAACAGGAUUAGAUACCCUGGUAGUCCACGCCGUAAACGAUGAGUGCUAAGUGUUAGGGGGUUUCCGCCCCUUAGUGCUGCAGCUAACGCAUUAAGCACUCCGCCUGGGGAGUACGGUCGCAAGACUGAAACUCAAAGGAAUUGACGGGGGCCCGCACAAGCGGUGGAGCAUGUGGUUUAAUUCGAAGCAACGCGAAGAACCUUACCAGGUCUUGACAUCCUCUGACAAUCCUAGAGAUAGGACGUCCCCUUCGGGGGCAGAGUGACAGGUGGUGCAUGGUUGUCGUCAGCUCGUGUCGUGAGAUGUUGGGUUAAGUCCCGCAACGAGCGCAACCCUUGAUCUUAGUUGCCAGCAUUCAGUUGGGCACUCUAAGGUGACUGCCGGUGACAAACCGGAGGAAGGUGGGGAUGACGUCAAAUCAUCAUGCCCCUUAUGACCGGG
rnacentral:rRNA from 1 species